AUACUUACCUGACGCAGAGGCUACCGGGAUCAAUAAGGCGGUUCCUCCAGGGCAAGGCUCAGCCAUUGCACUCCGGUUGAGCUGACCUUUGCGAAUAUUCCUGAUGUGGAUAUCUCGGGUGUAAAAUUUUUGUCAGUUGGGACUGCAUUCGCGCUAUCCCGGA